rnacentral:rRNA from 1 species
UACGGGGGGAGCAAGCGUUGUUCGGAUUUACUGGGCGUAAAGGGCGCGUAGGCGGCCACCGCAAGUCAAUUGUGAAAUCUCCGGGCUUAACUCGGAAAGGUCAACUGAUACUGCGGGGCUAGAGUGCGGAAGGGGCAACUGGAAUUCUCGGUGUAGCGGUGAAAUGCGUAGAUAUCGAGAGGAACGCCUGCGGCGAAGGCGGGUUGCUGGGCCGACACUGACGCUGAUGCGCGAAAGCCAGGGGAGCGAACGGG